rnacentral:rRNA from 1 species
AACGAACGCUGGCGGCAUGCCUAACACAUGCAAGUCGAACGAGACCUUCGGGUCUAGUGGCGCACGGGUGCGUAACGCGUGGGAACCUGCCCUUAGGUUCGGAAUAACUCCCCGAAAGGGGUGCUAAUACCGGAUAAUGUCUUCGGACCAAAGAUUUAUCGCCUUUGGAUGGGCCCGCGUUGGAUUAGCUAGUUGGUAGGGUAAAAGCCUACCAAGGCGACGAUCCAUAGCUGGUCUGAGAGGAUGAUCAGCCACACUGGGACUGAGACACGGCCCAGACUCCUACGGGAGGCAGCAGUGGGGAAUAUUAGACAAUGGGCGAAAGCCUGAUCCAGCAAUGCCGCGUGAGUGAUGAAGGCCUUAGGGUUGUAAAGCUCUUUUACCCGGGAUGAUAAUGACAGUACCGGGAGAAUAAGCACCGGCUAACUCCGUG